rnacentral:rRNA from 1 species
UGGGGAAUAUUGCACAAUGGGCGCAAGCCUGAUGCAGCCAUGCCGCGUGUGUGAAGAAGGCCUUCGGGUUGUAAAGCACUUUCAGCGAGGAGGAAGGUGGUGGACUUAAUACGUUCAUCAAUUGACGUUACUCGCAGAAGAAGCACCGGCUAACUCCGUGCCAGCAGCCGCGGUAAUACGGAGGGUGCAAGCGUUAAUCGGAAUUACUGGGCGUAAAGCGCACGCAGGCGGUUUGUUAAGUCAGAUGUGAAAUCCCCGGGCUCAACCUGGGAACUGCAUUUGAAACUGGCAAGCUAGAGUCUCGUAGAGGGGGGUAGAAUUCCAGGUGUAGCGGUGAAAUGCGUAGAGAUCUGGAGGAAUACCGGUGGCGAAGGCGGCCCCCUGGACGAAGACUGACGCUCAGGUGCGAAAGCGUGGGGCAGCAAACAGGAUUAGAUACCCUGGUAGUCCACGCUGUAAACGAUGUCGAUUUGGAGGUUGUGCCCUUGAGGCGUGGCUUCCGGAGCUAACGCGUUAAAUCGACCGCCUGGGGAGUACGGCCGCAAGGUUAAAACUCAAAUGAAUUG